AUUGAACGCUGGCGGCAGGCCUAACACAUGCAAGUCGAACGGUAACAGGAAGCAGCUUGCUGCUUCGCUGACGAGUGGCGGACGGGUGAGUAAUGUCUGGGAAACUGCCCGAUGGAGGGGGAUAACUACUGGAAACGGUAGCUAAUACCGCAUAACGUCGCAAGACCAAAGAGGGGGACCUUCGGGCCUCUUGCCAUCGGAUGUGCCCAGAUGGGAUUAGCUUGUUGGUGAGGUAACGGCUCACCAAGGCGACGAUCCCUAGCUGGUCUGAGGGGAUGACCAGCCACACGGGAACUGAGACACGGUCCAGACUCCUACGGGAGGCAGCAGUGGGGAAUAUUGCACAAUGGGCGCAAGCCUGAUGCAGCCAUGCCGCGUGUAUGAAGAAGGCCUUCGGGUUGUAAAGUACUUUCAGCGGGGAGGAAGGGGAUGUGGUUAAUAACCGCAUUCAUUGACGUUACCCGCAGAAGAAGCACCGGCUAACUCCGUGCCAGCCGCCGCAGUAAAAC
rnacentral:rRNA from 1 species